rnacentral:rRNA from 1 species
CAACGUGCCAGCAGCCGCGGUAAUACGGAAGGUCCGGGCGUUAUCCGGAUUUAUUGGGUUUAAAGGGAGCGUAGGCCGGAGAUUAAGUGUGUUGUGAAAUGUAGACGCUCAACGUCUGACUUGCAGCGCAUACUGGUUUCCUUGAGUACGCACAACGUUGGCGGAAUUCGUCGUGUAGCGGUGAAAUGCUUAGAUAUGACGAAGAACUCCGAUUGCGAAGGCAGCUGACGGGAGCGCAACUGACGCUUAAGCUCGAAGGUGCGGGUAUCGAACAGGAUUAGAUACCCUGGUAGUCCGCACAGUAAACGAUGGAUGCCCGCUGUUGGUACCUGGUAUCAGCGGCUAAGCGAAAGCAUUAAGCAUCCCACCUGGGGAGUACGCACGCAAGUGUGAAACUCAAAGGAAUUGACGGGGGCCCGCACAAGCGGUGGAGCAUGUGGUUUAAUUCGAUGAUACGCGAGGAACCUUACCAAGGUUUAA